rnacentral:rRNA from 1 species
AGCUCCAAUAGCGUAUAUUAAAGUUGUUGCGGUUAAAAAGCUCGUAGUUGGAUCUGCGUCCAUCAAGACCGGUAGCCCAUUGGGUUUCACUGGUUCUUGUGGACUCCUUACUAGUUUUUCCAUGGUGCUCUUAACUGAGUGCCUUGGUAGACUAGUGCUUUUACUUUGAAAAAAUUAGAGUGCUCAAAGCAGGCGUUUGCCUGAAUAGUGGUGCAUGGAAUAAUGGAAUAGGACCUCGGUUCUAUUUUGUUGGUUUUCGGAGCUCGAGGUAAUGAUUAAGAGGGACAGACGGGGGCAUUCGUACUGCUGCGUUAGAGGUGAAAUUCUUGGAUCGCAGCAUGACGAACAACUGCGAAAGCAUUUGCCAAGAAUGUUUUCA